rnacentral:pre_miRNA from 1 species
AGUGGGAUAACUGAGUCAGAUGGUGGUUCUGUUCCAAGUUUUCUGAGGAAUUUCUAUACUGCUUUCCAGAGUGGUUGUACCAAUUUGUAGUCCCACUAGCAAU